GUGAAAAUAUAAAUUAUUUAAAACUUUCAACAACGGACCUCUUGGUUCCGGCAUCGAUGAAGAACGCAGCGAAAUGCGAUACGUAAUGUGAAUUGCAAAUUCAGUGAAUCAUCGAGUCUUUGAACGCACAUUGCGCCCCCUGGUAUUCCGGGGGGCA
rnacentral:rRNA from 1 species